rnacentral:lncRNA from 1 species
AAUGCUUAAACACUUCGUUACAUUAGAGCCAACUACAGUUUAGGGUCACCAAGGAACUUCCAUGCCUCUCCUAUAUAUGCUUCUCUUUUUCUUUUCUUUUUUCAAUAUCUAUUAUUUGGUGUGUACAUGCUCGGUCUAAGGUCAGGACGCUUCUCAGUGUAAAUGAGUUACGACCACCAUAAGACUUCACCAACCAAAUUGUUCACAUGCGGUUUAGGUGGCUUAUUUGACCGUGCAAUGGUUGAGAUCCCAAAAGAUUUAUGCACUAAUACCCAUUUAGCGAGUGUUGGGUCAGUAAUCCCAAACCAUGAAAGGCUUUAGGUUACUAGGCACAAAGUCCCUUCAGACUUAAUUACUCGAGUAUUAAUGAGCCCAACCUAGUCAAUUAUACCACCAUUUUUUUUUCGUGAACUUUAUUGCUAAUACAUGUAUAUAUUUUCUCUCUCUUUUUUUUUUUUGAAAGGCAUGUAUAUCCCAAAGCUCCCCCUCACUUAAGAAUUAUAGACUCUAAGCUCAAAAGGGAAUAGUCAAAAUUCUACGCUCGGCUCAUAGCUAAGAUUCAAGAAAUAAGCUAGUCUAAAUCUCGUCUCUAGAACAGUUAUAGUGUAAUACAAGUUCCGCACAAGCAAUUUCUAAGCAUGCAAGACAUCACAUAUGAUCAAGAUUACUAUCCAAGAAAUCAUGCAAAUAAACUCAUCAUAGGAAAUUAACUUGGUCUACAACUUUCAUCGAAUCAUGCAAAUGCAAACUAAAAAGAAAUAAGAAAAAAAAAAUCCACUAAAAAAAAUGCAUGUCAAAUUACAUAACCAUAUGCUCUAAUUUAAAUGCAACUAUCAUGAAUUUCCUA